rnacentral:rRNA from 1 species
AUGACAUGUCCUGCGAUGGCGGGAGCUUGCUCCUUGAUUAGCGGCGGACGGGUGAGUAAUGCCUAGGAAUCUGCCUGGUAGUGGGGGACAACGUUUCGAAAGGAACGCUAAUACCGCAUACGUCCUACGGGAGAAAGCAGGGGACCUUCGGGCCUUGCGCUAUCAGAUGAGCCUAGGUCGGAUUAGCUAGUUGGUGAGGUAAUGGCUCACCAAGGCGACGAUCCGUAACUGGUCUGAGAGGAUGAUCAGUCACACUGGAACUGAGACACGGUCCAGACUCCUACGGGAGGCAGCAGUGGGGAAUAUUGGACAAUGGGCGAAAGCCUGAUCCAGCCAUGCCGCGUGUGUGAAGAAGGUCUUCGGAUUGUAAAGCACUUUAAGUUGGGAGGAAGGGCAGUAAGUUAAUACCUUGCUGUUUUGACGUUACCGACAGAAUAAGCACCGGCUAACUCUGUGCCAGCAGCCGCGGUAAUACAGAGGGUGCAAGCGUUAAUCGGAAUUACUGGGCGUAAAGCGCGCGUAGGUGGUUCGUUAAGUUGGAUGUGAAAGCCCCGGGCUCACCUGGGAACUGCUCCAAAACUGGCGAGCUAAGUACGGUAGAGGGUGGUGGAAUUUCCUGUGUGCGUUG